rnacentral:rRNA from 1 species
UACGUAGGGUGCGAGCGUUGUCCGGAAUUAUUGGGCGUAAAGAGCUCGUAGGCGGUCUGUCGAGUCGAAUGUGAAAACCCGGGGCUCAACUCCGGGCUUGCAUGCGAUACGGGCAGGCUAGAGUUCGGUAGGGGAGUCUGGAAUUCCUGGUGUAGCGGUGAAAUGCGCAGAUAUCAGGAGGAACACCGGUGGCGAAGGCGGGACUCUGGGCCGAUACUGACGCUGAGGAGCGAAAGCGUGGGGAGCGAACAGG